rnacentral:lncRNA from 1 species
UGCAUGUUUAUGUUCCAAUUGAGGUGGGUUCACUGUGUACCUUGAAAUUUGCUGCGAAAGGAGUGCUUUUAAAGCGUUGUGCUAGAAAGCAAUAUGCCCUUUCAAUAGCAUAUUUACUUCUUAUAAAGGAUUAUAAAUUUGAUAUUUACUUCAAAAGGACUGUUAAGUUAAAGCCUUACCCCAAAUUGGUGCACUCUGGUAGAAGGGGAGAA